rnacentral:rRNA from 1 species
GCAUAAUGGGCGAUGACAGCUUGUUCGCCAGCAUGUAGCUCAGUGCACUGCCAAGAGUAGAAUUCUACUCCCCGACUUACCAACCCGAUGCAAACUGCGAAUACCGGAGAAUGUUAUCACGGGAGACACACGGCGGGUGCUAACGUCCGUCGUGAAGAGGGAAACAACCCAGACCGCCAGCUAAGGUCCCAAAGUCAUGGUUAAGUGGGAAACGAUGUGGGAAGGCCCAGACAGCCAGGAUGUUGGCUUAGAAGCAGCCAUCAUUUAAAGAAAGCGUAAUAGCUCACUGGUCGAGUCGGCCUGCGCGGAAGAUGUAACGGGGCUAAACCAUGCACCGAAGCUGCGGCAGCGACACUAUGUGUUGUUGGGUAGGGGAGCGUUCUGUAAGCCUGUGAAGGUGGCCUGUGAGGGUUGCUGGAGGUAUCAGAAGUGCGAAUGCUGACAUAAGUAACGAUAAAGCGGGUGAAAAGCCCGCUCGCCGGAAGACCAAGGGUUCCUGUCCAACGUUAAUCGGGGCAGGGUGAGUCGACCCCUAAGGCGAGGCCGAAAGGCGUAGUCGAUGGGAAACAGGUUAAUAUUCCUGUACUUGGUGUUACUGCGAAGGGGGGACGGAGAAGGCUAUGUUGGCCGGGCGACGGUUGUCCCGGUUUAAGCGUGUAGGCUGGUUUUCCAGGCAAAUCCGGAAAACCAAGGCUGAGGCGUGAUGACGAGGCACUACGGUGCUGAAGCGACAAAUGCCCUGCUUCCAGGAAAAGCCUCUAAGCAUCAGGUAACAUCAAAUCGUACCCCAAACCGACACAGGUGGUCAGGUAGAGAAUACCAAGGCGCUUGAGAGAACUCGGGUGAAGGAACUAGGCAAAAUGGUGCCGUAACUUCGGGAGAAGGCACGCUGAUAUGUAGGUGAAGCGACUUGCUCGUGGAGCUGAAAUCAGUCGAAGAUACCAGCUGGCUGCAACUGUUUAUUAAAAACACAGCACUGUGCAAACACGAAAGUGGACGUAUACGGUGUGACGCCUGCCCGGUGCCGGAAGGUUAAUUGAUGGGGUUAGCGGUAACGCGAAGCUCUUGAUCGAAGCCCCGGUAAACGGCGGCCGUAACUAUAACGGUCCUAAGGUAGCGAAAUUCCUUGUCGGGUAAGUUCCGACCUGCACGAAUGGCGUAAUGAUGGCCAGGCUGUCUCCACCCGAGACUCAGUGAAAUUGAACUCGCUGUGAAGAUGCAGUGUACCCGCGGCAAGACGGAAAGACCCCGUGAACCUUUACUAUAGCUUGACACUGAACAUUGAGCCUUGAUGUGUAGGAUAGGUGGGAGGCUUUGAAGUGUGGACGCCAGUCUGCAUGGAGCCGGCCUUGAAAUACCACCCUUUAAUGUUUGAUGUUCUAACGUUGGCCCGUAAUCCGGGUUGCGGACAGUGUCUGGUGGGUAGUUUGACUGGGGCGGUCUCCUCCUAAAGAGUAACGGAGGAGCACGAAGGUUGGCUAAUCCUGGUCGGACAUCAGGAGGUUAGUGCAAUGGCAUAAGCCAGCUUGACUGCGAGCGUGACGGCGCGAGCAGGUGCGAAAGCAGGUCAUAGUGAUCCGGUGGUUCUGAAUGGAAGGGCCAUCGCUCAACGGAUAAAAGGUACUCCGGGGAUAACAGGCUGAUACCGCCCAAGAGUUCAUAUCGACGGCGGUGUUUGGCACCUCGAUGUCGGCUCAUCACAUCCUGGGGCUGAAGUAGGUCCCAAGGGUAUGGCUGUUCGCCAUUUAAAGUGGUACGCGAGCUGGGUUUAGAACGUCGUGAGACAGUUCGGUCCCUAUCUGCCGUGGGCGCUGGAGAACUGAGGGGGGCUGCUCCUAGUACGAGAGGACCGGAGUGGACGCAUCACUGGUGUUCGGGUUGUCAUGCCAAUGGCACUGCCCGGUAGCUAAAUGCGGAAGAGAUAAGUGCUGAAAGCAUCUAAGCACGAAACUUGCCCCGAGAUGAGUUCUCCCUGACCCUUUAAGGGUCCUGAAGGAACGUUGAAGACGACGACGUUGAUAGGCCGGGUGUGUAAGCGCAGCGAUGCGUUGAGCUAACCGGUACUAAUGAACCGUGAGGCUUAACCUU